GUGCCUAUAGCUCAAUAGGACAGAGCGCAGGAUUCCUAAUCCUGAGGUUGCAGGUUCGAUUCCUGUUAGGCACG
rnacentral:tRNA from 1 species